rnacentral:misc_RNA from 1 species
UUUCCGUAGGUGAACCUGCGGAAGGAUCAUUGUCGAAACCAGCCCAGCGGAACGACCCGCGAACUUGUAUAAACAACCGGGGGCGGGGGCGUUCUCGCCCCGUGCCCCCGAACGGCGGGGAGACACUCGUGCCUUCUUGCCGAACAACGAACCCCGGCGCGGUCUGCGCCAAGGAACUUCAACUAAAGAGUGCCUCCGGUCGCCUCGGAAACGGCGUGCGUGCCGGGGGCGAAUCUUGUGCAAAACCAUAACGACUCUCGGCAACGGAUAUCUCGGCUCUC